rnacentral:rRNA from 1 species
UACGUAGGGUCCGAGCGUUUGUCCGGAAUUACUGGGCGUAAAGAGCUCGUAGGUGGUUUGUCGCGUUGUUCGUGAAAACUCACAGCUUAACUGUGGGCGUGCGGGCGAUACGGGCAGACUUGAGUACUGCAGGGGAGACUGGAAUUCCUGGUGUAGCGGUGGAAUGCGCAGAUAUCAGGAGGAACACCGGUGGCGAAGGCGGGUCUCUGGGCAGUAACUGACGCUGGAGGAGCGAAAAGCGUGGGGAGCGAAACAGG